GGCGACAUGGCCGAGUGGUUAUGGCGGUCGGUUCAAGAACGAAAGUUGCGAGGGUUCGAGUCCCUCUGUCGUCA
rnacentral:tRNA from 1 species